GACCUGAUAGCACAGUUGGCUAGUGCAUCUGUUCAAAUUGCUAAUCAAUCGUGUUUCGCCGUAUAAACAGAAGACCCCCGGUUUGAACCCAGGUCAGGUCA